CCUGGAUCCUUGCCCCUGCAGAAAGCCUGGCAGAAAGUGUUCCUGCACGGCCUCAGUAUUUUGCCGUGCGGCUCCUUCAGAGCAGAACAAAUAUCUUCUAAUGUUCGUGGAAGAGGCUUGGGCAGAUGGUUCUGGAGAGACGCUCUCUUUUGGCACAGGAGACAGUUUUUUUUCCUGCCAAUGAGAGUCAUGAGAAAACUGCCUUGGAAACCUGCAUCCAGCAGGUCUGCAUUCCUUUGCAGAGAAUUUGGCUGAAACAUCCCGCGGGCUUCAGCCCAGAGACCACCGCUCAUGGGAUCCAGGUGUUCCCAAGGUGAGUGCCUUUCCUCUGCAGCGCUUAGCUGAGCAGGCGGGAGGCUUCCUUCCCACCUCCUGUUUUGGAACGUGCGCUGUUGGGUCUUCAUGCUCAGCGCCCAGCUGGGGAGAAGUCCUGAAAAGAGUGGCUCCUGGUUCACUAACACUGCCUUCUGGGUGCGUGUGUCUCCACCUAGAGUGACAGGGAAUCACGGUUGUUUCUCAUGCCCAACCUGUCCCAAUUCCCAUCACAGAGAACUGACUGCACGUGGAGAGGAAUUUGGGCGCCGUGUGCUGCUUUGGCAUAGACAGGAAGGAAAAGGGUUGCCAUGCUCUGCCUAACACCUCGAUAAUUACUACUGACAAGCCACGCGGGGCAGGAGGUCUCCCUUUUUCAAGGCAUGAGAGUUGCAGGAGAGCGCAGGAUCAGCAGAGGUGAGGGAACAGGUCCCUGCUGUGUACUGGAGAUCUGCUUUGAGAGAGGCACCAGGGCUGCAACGAGAGCACUUCCCAAGGCCCAUUAUGCCUGCGCUGUCCGAGCGCGGUUCCUGCGAUGAUCUCUGCCAGCUGGGCGCAGUCCCGGUAUGGCAGCCCGUGUCUCAGCUGGUGCCCACACCGCUCCGUUCAGCAACAGGAGCUCCAUGGGGACAAAGGGAACGGGAGGGCGCCUGGAAGGCCUCACCCAAGGGGCCCCGGAGUGCACGUGGCUGCAGCAGGGACCUUAGGUGGACGUGCUUGUAGUUGAAGCCAGGGACUUUUGUACCACGUCUUACACUAGCAGCCCCAAGGAGAUGAGUGUUCUUCCUCGGAAACAAAGGAAAUGUAAUCCAUUCUAUGAUUGUUCUUCCUCGGAAACAAAGGAAAUGUAAUCCAUUCUAUGAUGUUCUUCCUCUGAAAAAGGAAAUUGUGCUAGUUUUACCAACAGCAUCAAAAUCGCAUUAAACGUCACCGGA
ensembl:lncRNA